AGUGGGAUUGCUGGAUUGUAUGGUAUUUGUAGCUUUUUAAGGAAGCCCCAAAUUGUUUUCCAAAGUGGUUGUACCAUUUUACAUUUCCACCAGCAAU
rnacentral:pre_miRNA from 1 species